UAGGAGUUCAAGGUGUGAGAAAUGUUCAGAAGGGCAUGAGACAAAGGAAUGUGUACUAUUGGGGAACGUGUUAAUUGUAGGGGUACCCAUGGAGCUGGGGAUCAGAAAUGUCCCGAGCGAGAGAGGCAGGUUGAGGUUUCUAGGUUAGAGUAGAGCCAUACCAGUCCAGAGUAAGAUUGGAUUUUUAACAUUUAUAAAAAUGGUUACCAAUUGUACUGCAGGGAUGGAUCGGAAGUCACGUAAAAUUGAGUUUGUGGUGGCAGCUGCAGAGAGGCAUUUGGGUGUGCGACACUUGACAUCAGAAGAGUUACAAGAUGUGUUAGGUGGCGAUGUCCCAUUAUUUCAGGAUAAUGGCAUGAGGUAGAAAUAAAUGCAUUUAAUUAGUGGAGUAGGGUAGUGUUCAUUUUUAUUUUAUAUAAUUUUGAAUUAGUGAGUAGUGUUAGAUGGUAGGGUAUUUAUUUAGAACCUUUUUAUUUUUCAAGCAAAGAAUAAAGGGUGUUGUACUACAGUCUAGUAGGUGGCGGUAAUGCAACAAAUUGGAUGCAAACCGAUGUUAAACCCCAGAAGAAGAAGAAAUUGUGCCUUUGCACACGUUCUGAACGUCUGUGUAGUAACAGGUACAUUUCAUGUGUCUGAAAGUAGCACAUUGAGUUUGACUUCCGGCAUGUUGCGAUGAAUCGCUUUCCCAGGAAUCUCCAAAUACUAUGUUGAAUGAGCACCGCGGAUGAAAGAGGGGGAGGAAAAUAGACAACUUCCUUCUACCACACCUUCACCAAGUCAUACAAUGUUUGCUUCAUAAACAAUUGUUACAUCAGAAAUAAAUACAAAAUUAUUUUAGU